ensembl:snRNA U1 U1 spliceosomal RNA
GAAUUUACCUUGCAGGAGAGUUGCCAUGCUCACAAAGGUGGUUUUCCCAAGUUGAGGCUCACUGGUCACAUUCUGGAUGUAUUGACACUGUGAUUUCCCCAAAUGUGGAAAACCAGUUGCAUAAUUUGUGAUAAUAGGAGCUGUAUUUAAGAUAUCCCCCCCA